rnacentral:rRNA from 1 species
AGUGGCGGACGGGUGAGUAACGCGUGAGAAUCUGCCUUCAGGUCGGGGACAACAGAGGGAAACUUCUGCUAAUCCCGGAUGAGCCUUAGGGUAAAAAAUUUAUUGCCUGGAGAUGAGCUCGCGUCUGAUUAGCUAGUUGGUAAGGUAAAAGCUUACCAAGGCAACGAUCAGUAGCUGGUCUGAGAGGAUGAGCAGCCACACUGGGACUGAGACACGGCCCAGACUCCUACGGGAGGCAGCAGUGGGGAAUUUUCCGCAAUGGGCGAAAGCCUGACGGAGCAAGACCGCGUGGGGGAGGAAGGCUCUAGGGUUGUAAACCCCUUUUCUUUGGGAAGAACAAAAUGACGGUACCAAAGGAAUCAGCCUCGGCUAACUCCGUGCCAGCAGCCGCGGUAAUACGAGGAGGCAAGCGUUAUCCGGAAUGAUUGGGCGUAAAGCGUCCGCAGGUGGCAAUGUAAGUCUGCUGUCAAAACCCAGGGCUCAACUCUGGUCAGGCAGUGGAAACUACAUAGCUAGAGUUCGGUAGGGGCAAAGGGAAUUCCCGGUGUAGCGGUGAAAUGCGUAGAGAUCGGGAAGAACAUCGGUCGAAAGCGCUUUGCUAGACCGAAACUGACACUCAGGGACGAAAGCUAGGGGAGCGAAUGGGAUUAGAUACCCC